AAAAAGUUUUAUUCUUGCUUGGUUAUUUAUAUAAUUCUUGUUUAUACAUGUAAGUUUAGUUGGCGUUAAUUGUGUAGAAUAUUCUUGAUGGAUAUCUAUGGUUGUAUGGGUCGCAGUAUUUAAUUUUAUAAAUUAGGGAAGUUUAGAUUUAGCAAGUAUUUGGUUGUAUCGGCAGAAGUCGUGCCAGCCGCCGCGGUUAAACGAAGGAUGCAGGUAAAUAUUAUUGGUAGGUAGUUAGAUAGUUAAAGUUGAAUAAAAGUUAGGAAAAUUAAAUUUUUUAAGUGAAAUUUUAAAUUUGAAAUAAUUUCUUUGGUGUUUAAUUGAAGCUGUGAAAUUUAGUGAUUAGACUAGGAUUAGAUACCCUAUUAUUAUAAAUGUAAAUUGAUGAAAUCUGAGUAGUAUUAGAUAUGUUCUUGAAACUCAAAGAAUUUGGCGGUGCUUUAGUCCUUUCAGAGGAACCUGUCCCGUAAUCGAUAUUUCACGUUGAAUUUUACUUGGUUUUGUUGAUGUGUUAUAAUCAGUUUGUAUACCGCCGUCGUCGGAAUGUCCUUGUAGGGUGAGUAAUUUUCUUGAUUUUGUUGUAGAAAAGAUGUCAGGUCAAGGUGCAGUUGAUGGCCAAGUGGAGAUGGGUUACAAUAAAUGAAUUUAAAUGGAAAAUGAUUUGAAUGAGUUGUUAGAAGGUGGAUUUGAUUGUAAUUAUAAAGAUAAUAUUAUUUUGGUUUUUGGCUCUAAAGCAUGCACACAUCGCCCGUCGCUCUCGUUAUUUAAGGCGAGAUAAGUCGUAACAUAGUAGGUGUACCGGAAGGUGUAUCUAGAAAGAUUUAAA
rnacentral:rRNA from 1 species